rnacentral:rRNA from 1 species
AUUGAACGCUGGCGGCAGGCCUAACACAUGCAAGUCGAACGAGUGGCGGACGGGUGAGUAAUGUCUGGGAAACUGCCUGAUGGAGGGGGAUAACUACUGUAAACGGUAGCUAAUACCGCAUACCAUCGGAUGUGCCCAGGUGGGAUUAGCUAGUGGGGGGGGUAACGGCUCACCUAGGCGAAGAUCCCUAGCUGGUCUGAGAGGAUGACCAGCCACACUGGAACUGAGACACGGUCCAGACUCCUACGGGAGGCAGCAGUGGGGAAUAUGGCGCAAGGGGCGAAAGCCUGAGGCAGCCAUGCCGCGUGUAUGAAGAAGGCCUUCGGGUUGUAAAGUACUUUCAGCGGGGAGGCGGUACCCGAAGAAGAAGCACCGGCUAACUCCGUGCCAGCAGCCGCGGUAAUUC